AGCUGUCGCCGACCUGCGCGGGGCGGAAAUCCUGCUGGACUGCCUCCUGGUAGGGAAGCCUUUCGGGCGUCAAGAAGCUGGAGAGCUCGGCCACUGGGCAGCUGUCUCCGAAGAGCCUGGGCGGGAGGGGCAGUAAACCAUCCCUGUGGGUAUGCCUACAUGCUGAGUCCUUGAGUCCUCCAAGUGAAUCAUCAAACCCUGGAGACUCUGACACACAUUCCUGAAGGGAAGUUACUACUGACUCCUAAAACUCUUGCCUCCCUGAUGCUUUGGCACGUGCUCCAGGGUCAUCCGAGUUCUCCUCUUCCGUGUCCAAAAGCUCGAUGGUCAGCUGAACCUGGCCUUGGCUCUGAAUGAACAUAAGCUGCAAAUAAGAAACCUGAAUGUAAACAAAAGACCAUCUCCAAAGCUGUAAACAGAUUCUCAAGGGUUGAGAGGU